UGCUUGGACUACAUAUGGUUGAGGGUUGUAA
rnacentral:ncRNA from 10 species